UCCCUUGGAAGCCUCCAAGUGCAUAAAUGUUAUUGCAAAUCUGGUCUCUGACCGGGGGAGAGACCAGCCCCAGCAACGCAGGAGGCCCAAUAGCUCUCCGAAGAAUGCCGUUUUGAAUUUCUGAAGCCAAACCAAACACUGCCUCAAAAAACGCUUUCUUAUUAUCUCAUUCUCUGACUAUGGAACAAUCACCCCAUUGAAAAGCCAUGAGCCCGCCCAAGUUUUAAAUUAAACCUCUUGAGUUUUCCCUCUGAGAGCAGAUAAAAUCCUUCCAGCUUAUGUUUUGAGGAAAGAAUUUUGGGGGAGCAGCUCCUCCAUGCUGCCUGGAUUCCAGAAUGAAGCUCUUUCUGAAGAAGCGGCGAGGCCCCUUUCCAAGAGCUUACCAUGGGGCCAGAGAGAGGAGUGAUUUGUCAGCAGGAAAUUCUUCGUGGUCAAGCCCAAGGUCAAGCUGAUCUGCAUGUGAGCACCUCCUUCAGGCCAGCACUGUAUUUAUGGCAUCAAAGGCUCCACCGCAAAGGGAGGUGGGGCCAUUGGGAAGCCAAGUUGAGGGGACCUUUGAUGUCCCUUUAUCUCUCCCAACAACUGUCCUGUAGAAGCCCACAGUUUUCUUCUUUCAGAUUCUCCACUUAGGAUGUUAAUGUCCAGGGCUGUGCAUACAGUCUGUGGUCAAUAAAUGCACAACCAAAGGCUGCUUAUCUGAAAACGCACAGGAUGAGCCUGCUUUCUGAGAUCACAUACCACAGCAUUGGAACCUGCAUACUCUCAGCCAAUCUCUCUCCAAAGACUACUGGGAAGGAAAAAUAUUAACAUGUUCAACCCUAAUCAAAUCUGGAUAAUUUCACUAGAAACCUUUCCAUAAUUUCAUCAGCAUUAAAGGAUUACAAUAGCAACAAAUUAAACCAACAGGCAUGAAUUUAGUUGCUCAAGAGGAAAAUGUAGCUUGAUUUAGAAACGGAUGUUACAGUUUAUUAACCAAUCUAAAUUAAUUUGAUUUGGAGCCACUGUUAAAUAUACAUUAGGAUGUAUCACCCAAUAGCAUAGCUGGCAGGGAAGAGAGGAGAGAGGAAGGACAGCAAGCGGGGCCAACGUAAGUAUGGCGCCUACACAAUGGCAUGUUAAUUCUGCGGUACUGGGCUGCGUGUUCAAAACUAGAGAAGAAAAUACCAGUCAGCAGUCCACAUAACAAGAAUUGCAAACUCGAUUCAAGCUAGCUUAAAGCCAAAAGGGAGAUUUGUUAUCUCGGUAGCUGAACUUCCCAGGGCCUAUUUAACAUCAAGUACAGCUGGAUCCAGGUGCUCAGAGUCAAUAGGAAUUGGCCUCUCUCUAUUUCUUAGUUGGUUUUCUUCUGUGUAGACUUUACUCUCAAGUAAGGUCCUACCUGGAGGCAGGGUAACACCAGCAGCUCCAGAUUUUCUACUGGCUUAGCCAUCUCACAGAAAGAGAACCCACCCCAAGCCCCAGGAAAGGCUCUCAUUGGCCUGGCCAAGGUCAUGAACCACUGAUUGGCCAGGCCUGGACCCCCUGCUCAUUCUCAGGUUGGAGAGGAUGAUCAGACCCAGGUGCAAGCAGCAUGUGGACUAGGAGCAGGAGAUGGGUGGUUCCCCCCAAAACAGGCAGUUCUCUAGUACCAAAGAUGAAGGAAAGGGCAGCCUAAGGACCAGCGGCCCCUCUAGGAGCCAUAGAGGCAAAGAACAAACUCUCUCCUGGAGCCUCCAGAAGGAGCCAGCCCUGCUGACACCUUGAUUUUAGUCCUAUAAGACUCAUUUUGGACUUCUGACCUCCAGACUGUAGGAGAAUAAACAUGUAUUGUUUGAAACCACUAUGUUUUGGCCAUUUGUCACAGCAGCAAUAAGAAACUAAUACAUCUGUAUAAGACCAUGCAUUCCCCUUGGGCAUGAGGCAACAUACCAUGGAGUA